ACAACUUUCAACAACGGAUCUCUUGGCUCUCGCAUCGAUGAAGAACGCAG
rnacentral:rRNA from 1 species